rnacentral:rRNA from 1 species
UACGUAGGGUGCAAGCGUUGUCCGGAAUUAUUGGGCGUAAAGAGCUCGUAGGCGGUCUGUCGCGUCGGAUGUGAAAAUCCAGGGCUCAACCCUGGACCUGCAUUCGAUACGGGCAGACUAGAGUUCGGUAGGGGAGACUGGAAUUCCUGGUGUAGCGGUGAAAUGCGCAGAUAUCAGGAGGAACACCAGCGGCGAAGGCGGCGCUCUGGGCCGGAACUGACGCUGAGGAGCGAAAGCGUGGGUAGCAAACAGG